rnacentral:rRNA from 1 species
AUUGCCUCAGUAACGGCGAGUGAAGCGGCAACAGCUCAAAUUUGAAAUCUGGCCCUAGGCCCGAGUUGUAAUUUGCAGAGGAUGCUUUUGGCGCGGUGCCUUCCGAGUUCCCUGGAACGGGACGCCAUAGAGGGUGAGAGCCCCGUCUGGUCGGACACCAAGCCUCUGUAAAGCUCCUUCGACGAGUCGAGUAGUUUGGGAAUGCUGCUCAAAAUGGGAGGUAUAUGUCUUCUAAAGCUAAAUACCGGCCAGAGACCGAUAGCGCACAAGUAGAGUGAUCGAAAGAUGAAAAGCACUUUGGAAAGAGAGUUAAACAGCACGUGAAAUUGUUAAAAGGGAAGCGUUUAUGACCAGACUUGGGCCGGUUGAUCAUCCAGCGUUCUCGCUGGUGCACUCUGCCGGUCCAGGCCAGCAUCAGUUCGCUGCGGGGGAUAAAGGCGUCGGGAAUGUGGCUCCUCGGAGUGUUAUAGCCCUUCGCGCAAUACCCUGUGGCGGACUGAGGUUCGCGCAUUCGCAAGGAUGCUGGCGUAAUGGUCAUCAACGACCCGUCUUGAAACACGGACCAAGGAGUCGUCUUCGUAUGCGAGUGUUCGGGUGUAAAACCCCUACGCGUAAUGAAAGUGAACGCAGGUGAGAGCUUCGGCGCAUCAUCGACCGAUCCUGAUGUUCUCGGAUGGAUUUGAGUAAGAGCAUACGGGGCCGGACCCGAAAGAAGGUGAACUAUGCCUGUAUAGGGUGAAGCCAGAGGAAACUCUGGUGGAGGCUCGCAGCGGUUCUGACGUGCAAAUCGAUCGUCAAAUAUGGGCAUGGGGGCGAAAGACUAA